rnacentral:rRNA from 1 species
ACCCGCUGAACUUAAGCAUAUCAAUAAGCGGAGGAAAAGAAACCAACAGGGAUUGCCUCAGUAACGGCGAGUGAAGCGGCAACAGCUCAGAUUUGGAAUCUGGCCCCCUCGGGGGCCCGAGUUGUAAUCUGGAGAGGAUGCUUCUGGCGCGGCGCCUGGCGAGUUCCCUGGAACGGGACGCCGGAGAGGGUGAGAGCCCCGUACUCCAGGACGCCUAGCCUCUGUGAAGCUCCUUCGACGAGUCGAGUAGUUUGGGAAUGCUGCUCUAAAUGGGAGGUAAAUUUCUUCUAAAGCUAAAUACCGGCCAGAGACCGAUAGCGCACAAGUAGAGUGAUCGAAAGAUGAAAAGCACUUUGAAAAGAGGGUCAAACAGUACGUGAAAUUGUUGAAAGGGAAGCGCCCGUGGCCAGACUUGCGCCCCGCGGCUCACCCGGCGGACUCCGCCGGGGCACGCCGCGGGGUGCAGGCCAGCAUCGGCUCUUCCAGGGGGACAAGGACGGCGGGAACGUGGCUCCUCCGGGAGUGUUAUAGCCCGCCGCGCCAUGCCCCUGGGGGGGCCGAGGACCGCGCUUCGGCAAGGAUGCUGGCGUAAUGGCCACCGGCGACCCGUCUUGAAACACGGACCAAGGAGUCAAGCAUUGGGGCGAGUGUCUGGGUGGCAAACCCGCACGCGAAAUGAAAGUGAACGCAGGUGAGAGCUUCGGCGCACCACCGACCGAUCCUGAUGUCCUCGGAUGGAUUUGAGUAAGAGCCCCACCGCUUGGACCCGAAAGAUGGUGAACUAUGCCUGAAUAGGGUGAAGCCAGAGGAAACUCUGGUGGAGGCUCGCAGCGGUUCUGACGUGCAAAUCGAUCGUCAAAUUUGGGCAUGGGGGCGAAAGACUAAUCGAACCAUCUAGUAGCUGGUUACCGCCGAAGUUUCCCUCAGGAUAGCAGUGUUGUUCUUCAGUUUUAUGAGGUAAAGCGAAUGAUUAGGGACUCGGGGGCGCUCUUUAGCCUUCAUCCAUUCUCAAACUUUAAAUAUGUAAGAAGCCCCUGUUGCUUCGGUGAACGGGGGCCUUCGAAUGCACCAACACUAGUGGGCCAUUUUUGGUAAGCAGAACUGGCGAUGCGGGAUGAACCGAACGCGGGGUUAAGGCGCCGGAGUGGACGCUCAUCAGACACCACAAAAGGCGUUAGUACAUCUUGACAGCAGGACGGUGGCCAUGGAAGUCGGAAUCCGCUAAGGACUGUGUAACAACUCACCUGCCGAAUGUACUAGCCCUGAAAAUGGAUGGCGCUCAAGCGUCCCGCCCAUACCCCGCCCUCAGGGCAGAAGCCAGGCCCUGAGGAGUAGGCGGCCGUAGGGGUCCGUGACGAAGCCCAGGGCGUGAGCCCGGGUCGAACGGCCCCUAGUGCAGAUCUUGGUGGUAG